CCUACGGGUGGCAGCAGUGAGGGAUAUUGGUCAAUGGGGGAAACCCUGAACCAGCGACGCCGCGUGAGGGAAGACGGUUUUCGGAUUGUAAACCUCUGUUCUCUGUGAAGAUAAUGACGGUAGCAGAGGAGGAAGCUCCGGCUAACUACGUGCCAGCAGCCGCGGUAAUACGUAGGGGGCAAGCGUUGUCCGGAUUUACUGGGUGGAAAGGGUGUGUAGGCGGCCCAGCAAGUCAGAAGUGAAAUCCAUGGGCUUAACCCGGUGCCUGCUUUUGAAACUGUAGGGCUUGAGUGAAGUAGAGGCAGGCGGAAUUCCGGGUGUAGCGGUGAAAUGCGUAGAGAUAGGGAGGAACACCAGUGGCGAAGGCGGCUUGCUGGGCUGUAACUGACGCUGAAGCACGAAAGCGUGGGUAGCAAACAGGAUUAGAUACCCUGGUAGUC
rnacentral:rRNA from 1 species